UAGUGUGAGUUAUUCUAAAGUGUUACCCAUUUUUGCUCAUGUGAAGAGGAUGGUUUUUUUCGUCGAUAUUGAAACGAGAGUGAAGUACAAAUCCUAGUUUACGUGAUAAAUGAUAGUUCAGCAUCCAAAUACAUUGCUAAUAUGGAAACAUUUGAAUUCGUACUGAACGAGAGAAGUAGGCUUCGUGAGAACAAUGCUGGUUUUUACUUUCAGUUUCACUUCAAAUGAAUUUGUUUUGGCUUGUUUAUAGCUACUAAUACGUUUUUUUACCGUUAGGGGACCUGGAUGAACCCAACCCACUCACACGUCAAACAGGAAGAGAAACUGAAACCCCUUGAGUAACAUGAGUUUCUUAACAAAGAGACACAAUCUGACUGAAGCCACUGGACAACUGUAGGAGAUGAUCUGCCAAACACAUGAUAAACUCCUUGAGGUUUUCUGCCGCACUGAUCAGAAGUUGAUAUGUCUGCUGUGUACGAUGGAUGAACAUAAAAACCACGACACUGUAUCAGCUGUAGCACAAAGGACAGAGAAACAGAGUGUUCAUAGGGCUGACACCUGUAGUCAGCAGCGCUAGUCAAUGGGUGCAGGAGUCUGUUACAACACAGAAGGGUCGGAGACAGGAGAUCACAGACAGGGAUGUUUAUUGAUACCAGCAGAGUAUAACAGCAGUGCAGGUGAGUAUGUAGUAACGUAAAGGUGAUAAACUGGAGUGAAGAUAAGUGAUACUGUCCUUUUGUGGUUGCAGACGUGGAGAUCUUGAAUGGCGUUGGAAUGGAUGAACGUAGAACAUGGAGAACACUCACACACAGACUGGAGAUCACACGAGGAGAACAGGAGACGCUGGAGACAGGUAAGUAGUUUGGUAGGAGUCCUUGAGGUAAGCAUACAAGUAAGUUUAGAUGCAAACGAGACCGGACAAUGUGGCUGUGAGUGUGAGUGCUCUUUAUGCUGGUGUUGAUGAGGUGGUGAUGAGGUGCAGGUGCCGGUGAUCAGAACUCAGGAGAAGUGGUGCGCUGUGAUUGGUGGAUGGUGGAGCCUGGCGUGUCUGUGACAGAGUCAAGUAUUCACCUGAAAUAUCAACAUUAAGACAGGUUGAAUAUUCAAACGAAAGCACUGCAAAAUGCACCUUAGUGACACACAGUCCAUUUAGGUGUAGGUGUACAGUGCGAAGUGAUGCUGUAACGGCUGGACAGGAUGUCUGUGAUCCUCCUGGUCAGGUUUCCUUCCACCUGCACUUGAUUGUGGUGGUAUUCAGUCUGCUGAAUGACUUGUUGUACCAAGUCUGUUGUGUUGGUCAGCAGAAUCAGAAGGUGUCAGUGGAAAGUGUCAUUACACUUUGCGGAAACAUCUGUGUCCUCCCCAGGAUGUUUAAUUGACCCUCUGAGAAGUCCUUGGUCACCUUCAAGCAGAAGGUUUGGUUUGUCAGGCAGGUCAAAUCUCCAUAGGUGAAGGAAUCUUUUCACUGAUGAUGCUCCAUUGCAUGCGAGACAACUGAACAACUUCUGAGUGAACAUGCAAUAUUUGAACACUGAUGAAUUUGGUGUUAUUGUAAAAUAAAUAAUAGCGAGUUGUUGGUUAAACACAAGAACACAAAAUAACAUACGAUUAACUCAUGUCAAAAGUGCGAAUGGUAAAUAAGAUCUUCUUUUCAGAGUCAUAUAUUUAGUGAGCAGGUCUCAUUUGAUCACCAGAUUCUUCACUACCACUGUGACAUGGUAGUGGAAUUUAGACUUGGUCUGGAUUAAUUAAAGGAAAGGUAGCAAAGGUUUCAAUCAGGUCAAUUAUGACCAGGUCCUAUGCACUUACAGUGUUUACACACAGUAAGUUGACAAGACGGUAACUCUUCAAAAUUGUUUGACACAAUUAAAAAGAAUUUAUAAAAAAAUAAAUUCCCUUGUCCUAUAUGUAUGAAGAUGAAUGAUGUAUCAUAGAUUUGCAUGAUGUGAAUAAUUUUAGUCUGGAUAGUCUUAUGAUCUAUAUCAGGUAGAGAUGUUGUGAGGUUGUAGUAGUGAGGGUGUGUGUUCUGUAUGUUUAUGUAUAGGAGAUGGGUGGUGUCUAUCCUACCAUAAUCUGUGUUGUAUAAUUUAGUUUCAGUUCUACACCAGGAGGCCAUGUAGCUAUGAGUGCUAUGAGGUGUAAAUGGCCUCUUGAAGUACCUCCACCCCAUCUCCUACAUGUCAAGUUGUGUGUGUCCUGGCUCGAUGCAGGUGGGACCAGACACCCUUGUGGACUCUGGCCCUGAAAAUAGUAGCCGUCAGUCUGAAAGUGAAACAGACACAGAGAGAAAAACAGUUGGAUCUUGAACCUUUACACAAAUUGCAUUAAGAUAGAUGAUACUAUCUUAAUUUUUCUUGAAUGGUCUUAGCCAGACAGUUGUUGCAGAUGGCUUUAACCCUCUGGAGUCUGAGGCUGAUUUGGGGUCCUAGAGAAGUUUUGACAUGCCCUGACAUUUGUGCUUUUUUUCAAUUUUUUAUAAACAUAUUAAUGACCAAAGUUUCAUUACACUGUAUUCAGCAGAAACUAGGCUACAAUAUAAUAUGUGAGCAACAAGUAUGUACAUUUUUGUAUUUUUACAAUUUAAAAUAAUGGUUUUCUACUUUAAUAUACUUUAAAAUAUAAUGUAUUCUGAUGCAAGAUGUCUAAACAUUCAUAUUACCUCUAUGGCAUUUCAUAUAUUAUAUUUGUUAUAUUAUAGAGCCUAAAUGGUAAUGUGCAGUUUAAUAAAUUGCUAACACAUUUUAUUUCAGUAUUUAUUAUGUAUUUCAGUUGAAUUCACUCAUCUCAGUAUAGCAAUCUAGUCUGGGAAUAGCCAUGGCAAAAUAUACUAAUGUAAGUUAUGUGUAGUAAACGAAACCGUGCGUCGAUCUGCCUCAUUAAUUCACACUGAGACACACAAAACGUGCAGGAUUCAUAUUUAAACAGUAUUUUUGCGGUUUAAUAUUCACAGACACUAUAUCGCAAUUAGAAUAAAGAACUAUAGAAUAAAAAAAAAAACUUACCAUUCACAAUCAUUGGCUUGAUCUAGUUGAUCCUCGAAAUGAAAGUGAAACCAGUCAUGCUCUUUCUCUGAGGUAAAUCCUUUUAGAAUUAUUCUUCACUGCAUCUCAAAACGAUGAAAAGUAGCCUACAUGAAACUUACCAAGCUUGAGGCAUUUUUCUGAGUUGACGCAGGCGUUCACUCUGUUGCAUGUAUCGCCUCAGAAUUUGUGUUUGAAUAGAGCGCCCGCUCCGUGGGCGUGGCCGAGUUAGUGGAUAAUGAGCUGACUUGCAAACAUCUGACAUCUCUCUCUUUUCAUACAGAUUACAUAAACAGAGAGAACAUGAUUUAAAACCUGACAUUUCAACAUUUCUUUAGACAUAUAUCUCAUUUUUGUGUCAUUAGUAUUCACUAAGUUACAGUUCAUUUUCUGAGGGAGUAUCAGAUUGGACUUCGUUCAGAGGGAGACGACAGAUCAUGCAUCAUGUUAGUUUUCUUUAUUUUGCAAAAAGCACAACAUUUUGUUUUUACUCUGAGUGUACACAAAUAAAAAAAAGACAUUCUAUAGUUUAAAUUGAUAUAUUACUUCUGUCUCUAUGACAAAAGAUGACAGAGUAUUUUAAGUUGAUUUUGCUGCUAUGUGAAAAAAAUCCAGCAAAACGCGCUGGCGCGUUUCCCGACUUCAGAGUGUUAACCUGUUAAGAUUUUAUGCCAUUAGGAGAAAAAUUGUUUAGACAUGGAUCAUUAUUAUGAUCAUGUUUCUGCAAAGAAAAAGGUCAGAUAAACUGAAAGUUGAUGGUCAGAUCUGACUGCUGGUGUUUAAGCAUCAUCAGAGAAUCUUGCGACUUAAACUGCUUUUGCAGUUGUGCUUUCACAGUCUGCUGUAUUGUGAGCAUUAUGACAGCCAGGUCUGCUGGGGGAAUCUCUAAGCACUGGGGCAUUUUGGGGAUUUCCACCUGGUUUUGGCCUACCAAAUUGAAAAGCUUCUCAUACCCACAUACAGUGCCCUAAAUACAAAAUUUUGGUGUCAUUUUACAGGAAACCCUUUGAAGUUACAUAAAACACUGCUGAAAGUGAUACAAAUUAUACAACCCCAAUUCCAGAAGAGCUGGGACAUUUUGUAAAAUACAAUAAAAUUAAGAAUCUGUGAUUUGUCGAUUCUCUUUAACCUCUAUUUAACUGACAAAGUACAAAGAAAAUAUAGGCUCAUAGGCUAUUUCGUGGACAAAUACACACACAAAAUUAUGUCAAAAUAUACCCGUAAAAACAGUUUUGUAACGUAAACGGUUGAGAAAGAAAUGUGUAACAGCCUGUAUUGUUUUCGUGAAUUGACAUCAACCUAUAGCUGCUAAGGAUGUUCAUUUCGGUUUUAAACGACAAGAUUGUUAAAUUAGAAUUAAAUUAAAUUAGAAUGGAUAAGUGUCUAUAAGGAAUAAAUACGUGAAAUAUAUUCACUUAAACAAUUAACAGAUUAACAAAAUGAAAGAAAAAAACUGUGUGACAAGUAGUAGCCUAGCCUAUAUGCUGAGUUUUGAUUUAUUUUUGCGAGGCUUUCAACACAAACACGUUUAAGAAAAAGGAAACUGAGAUGGCAGAAAACAAUACCUGUUUUCUUUACAAAAACGUCUCAGGUUACGUAUGUAACCAUGGUUCCCUGAGAACAGGGAACGAGACGCUGCGUUUGACACACUAUGGAGAACGC